ACCAGCUUGAGAGCAUCCUUCCUUCUCUGCUGCAAAGACAAUGAGGGCAGCCCUGUAGGAGAGAAGCAGGGGACAGAUGGAGGGGUGCGCGGGCAGGCGCCCCAACAUGCACAGAUGUGUAAAUACCCAGAUUCAAACCUGCCCUCCAAGUGAACUAAGAGCUUCCACUGCUCAGAAACCAGGUUUUCUGUUCAUCGCUUCUCUCUGGAACAUAACGGUGGUGCCAGGCACCAGGAGGUGCUUCACAAACGCUUGUAGAAUGAAUGAAUGAACUACUAUAAUUUUUUUUUUUAAAAAGUACACUCCUAGAAAUCGCUGCAGCUUCACUGUCACACUUC